AUUGAACGCUGGCGGCAGGCCUAACACAUGCAAGUCGAACGAGUGGCGGACGGGUGAGUAAUGUCUGGGAAACUGCCCGAUGGCGGGGGAUAACUACUGGAAACGGUAGCUAAUACCGCAUACCCUCUGAUUUGCCCAGAUGGGAUUAGCUAGUAGGUGUGGUAAAGGCUCACCUAGGCGACGAGCCCUAGCUGGUCUGAGAGGAGGACCAGCAAACCGGGAACGGAGACACGGUCCAGACUCCGACGGGAGGCAGCAGUGGGGAAUAUGGGACAAUGGGCGAAAGCCUGAUGCAGCCAGGCCGCGGGUAUGAAGAAGGCCUUCGGGUUGUAAAGUACUUUCAGCGAGGAGGCGUUACUCGCAGAAGAAGCACCGGCUAACUCCGUGCCAGCCGCCGCGGUAAUUC
rnacentral:rRNA from 1 species